GACGUAGGGCGCAAGCGUUGUCCGGAUUUAUUGGGCGUAAAGAGCUCGUAGGCGGCUUGUUGCGUCGUCCGUGAAAACCCGCAGCUCAACUGCGGGCUUGCGGACGAUACGGGCAGGCUGGAGUUCGGUAGGGGAGACUGGAAUUCCUGGUGUAGCGGUGAAAUGCGCAGAUAUCAGGAGGAACACCGGUGGCGAAGGCGGUUCUCUGGGCAUGUUCUGACGCUGAGGAGCGAAAGUGUGGGGAGCGAACAGG
rnacentral:rRNA from 1 species